AAACUUUCAACGACGGAUCUCUUGGUUCUGGCAUCGAUGAACAACGCACCGAAAUGCGAAAAGUAAUGUGAAUUGCACAAUUCAGUGAAUCAUCGAAUCUUUGAACGCACAUUGCGCCCGCCAGUAUUCUGGCGGGCAUGCCUGUCUGAGCGUCAUUU
rnacentral:rRNA from 1 species